CGAUCACUGUUGUCAUUUUAAAAUUUGAAUGGACAGAGAUAAGAUGAUACAAAGAACUUUCAAAAUGGUGAAUCAAAAUUUAUUAUAAACAGAUAAAUUGAAAUGGGUGACUUGUCGAUAAACUGGAAGAAACCGGGGAACGAAACAUCGAAAAUUUAGAAUCUAUAGAAAGUCAACGCAACGAAACAGCGAAAGUAUUUUUGUUUUGAUGGAUAGUUUUACGUACCUAAAAGCACAACGAAAGCAUUUUCAAUGAAAGUACAUUUUGUACUUCAAGAAGUAGAAGAAUCUAAGCAACAGAACAGAAUUCAUUUGAGGCAUUGCUUUCUAGAUUAUAUAAUGGAUUCAUAGAUUGUCAUAUUGAUUUAAGUGCAUAUAAGGAGCAGCAGGCAAUAAUUAUUUUGUGAUGAGAGCUUGUUACCAUGGUUACCAAAUGAAAGGAAAGUGCAGUAUUAGAAUCACUGGUGUACAUGUAGGUGCGGCUGUCAGGCAAAAAGAACUGGUAUCAAAGAACUGAAAAGUAAAGAAACAGAACCAAAGAACAUUAAUUUUUAAUUAAUACAAUAUUGAGCUCAAA